UAGGGAAUCUUCCACAAUGGACGAAAGUCUGAUGGAGCAACGCCGCGUGAGUGAAGAAGGGUUUCGGCUCAUAAAACUCUGUUGUUAAAGAAGAACAUAUCUGAGAGUAACUGUUCAGGUAUUGACGGUAUUUAACCAGAAAGCCACGGCUAACUACGUGCCAG
rnacentral:rRNA from 1 species